GAAGUGAUGUAAAUGAGUUCUACAGAGGAUAUUUCUAAAACUAAGGAAAGUGAGUCCAUAUGUAAAUCUUUGCUCUGUAAUAAAAAAGAGAAAAAAACAAGAAGUAAAAGAGGGGGGACAUAGUUUUCAAGAAAGCCUUUAGAGGUAUGUUGUUAUUAAAAACUUACUUUUGGCUUUAUCAAUGUGAAAUGUUGUUAACCUGUGCUUUCUUUUGUGAAACUCUCAAUAUUUACUUGCAUAAUUCAAAGUCUCAAACUGCUUCUGAGCCUGUUACACAUUAUCCCCAUUCAAUAAUAUGGCAUGAAUUAUGAAAGAGGACAGAGUAAAUAUUUUUGUCUUCUUGAUAUGACCUGUGUGACCAGUUUUGUUAGUUGAAAUUAGUUUACAAAAACUAAAUUCUCUUUGUUCUACAUUACAAUCUUAGUAUUAUAUGAAUCCAGAAAUAUCCUUUUCAUGUGCCAAUAAUGCUACAAGAAAAUGUGAAAAUAAAUUAUUCUUUCUGCUAAAGAUACUAUAUAGCUCUCAGGCAUUUCUAACUUCUUUAAAAAUAAAGUAUGAUUUCUAAACUGGAAUGGAGAGAGAAGGGGCAGGUAAAAUGGUUUACCACCCUAUCAACACAGAGUAAAGCCCAACAAUUAAUGUGGCCUGCCUACUCAAUGUACCACCUACGCAGAGCUUCCGCUUAUGUAUGAACAACCAAGGCUUGCCAGAUAUUAAGGAAAGAAACCCCAGCAAAACAAUCCUAAUCAAAGGAAUAUGAGAGGAUUAUCAGAUUAUCGGAUUAUAUUAGGAUAAUGUUCUAAGUGUUUUACAUUGAUUAACCGAAUACUGACAGGAACCCAAUGAGGUAGAUACAUCUACAUUAUGCUAGAGAUGACAAGGCAAAUAAAAAUUAAAUUCCCUACGGUCAAACAGCAAGUAAGCAACACAGCCAGGCCCCAGAAUCCACGCUUCUUAGCUUCUACAAUACUCUACUGCUCAAACACGGGAAAGAGGAGAUCAAAAUGCAUGGGCUGCAGAAACAGAAUGAAGGGAACAGAGGGAAACUUUAUCAAAAAAAUUAAAACUAUAAUCAUAUUCUGAGAGAUAUAAGAUACUGCAUCUAGAGGAUAAGAGUAAAAUGAUAUGAAAAAUGACCAAAUAGAGAAUAAGAAACUCUUGGGGGAUAAAUGAAAUGAAAGCUAAACUUCAUAUUCAAUAAAAUGAUUUUAGGCCGGGCAUGGUGGCUCACGCCUGUAAUCCCAGCACUUUGGGAGGAAGAGGCAGGUGGAUCACUUGAUGUCAGGAGUUUGAGACCAGCCUGGCCAACGUGGUGAAACCCUGUCUCUACUAAAAAUACAAAAAUUAGCUGGGUGUGGUGGCGCACGCCUGUAAUCCCAGCUACUCAGGAGGCUUAGGCAGAAUCACUUGAACCUGGGAAGUGGAGGUUGCAGUGAGCCAAGAUUGUAUCACUGCACUCCAGCCUGGGCGAUGGAGUGAGACUGUGUCUCAAAAAAAAAAAAAAAAAAAAAAAAAGAUUUUAAAAAACAAAAAUAUAUCUCCCCCCAAAAGUAGAACUGAAAUAAAACUUAAAAACAGUGCCUGCGAAAUUCUAAAAUUCUAAGGAGGAAAUUCCUAUCAGCCCAAAUUAAAGGCAAUUUCAGAAAUGCAAGGAGAUAAAAAGUUUACCUCUCAUCUUCCCUUUCUUAGUAAGAUACCAAAAAAUGGUACACAGCAAAAGAAGGCAUAUGCUAAGAUGGGAAAACAUGGGAUUCUGGAAAUAAUGGUGCCAACUUAAACGGUCUAGAAAAAAGGUGACAGUUGUGUGGCAUAACUAGGUUGUAGGAGAAAAAUUAUAAAGUGGGUAAAAUGACAAAGCAUCUGGAAAGAACUAAGAAUAUAGAAGGAAAAUUAGGCAAGCAGAAGAAUGUAAGGUGAAGGUUAACUGGAGGAAAAACCAAAAGCUGUACCACAAAGAAAAUCACGGUGGCUCACACCUGUAAAAUAUGGGCAUUGAGCUUUACAGGGAUUGAUCGUAAUAUAACUAUUUAGAAGGAUGAGACAAAGGAAAUGAGAAGGUGUCAGUUAAAUCAUUAUUUAUCAUAAAAUGAAGGCAAUUUGAACUCAAUGUC
rnacentral:lncRNA from 10 species